rnacentral:rRNA from 1 species
AACGAACGCUGGCGGCAUGCUUUAUACAUGCAAGUCGAACGGGGAGCAGCUUGCUGUUCCUAGUGGCAAACGGGUGAGUAACGCGUGGGAAUUUACCCUUUGGUGGGGGAUAGCUAGGGGAAACUCUAGGUAAUACCGCAUAUUCUUGGCAACAAGGAAAGAUUUAUCGCCAAAGGAUAGGCCCGCGUCAGAUUAGGUAGUUGGUAGGGUAAGGGCCUACCAAGCCGACGAUCUGUAGCUGGUUUGAGAGAAUGAUCAGCCACACUGGGACUGAGACACGGCCCAGACUCCUACGGGAGGCAGCAGUAGGGAAUAUUGGACAAUGGGGGAAACCCUGAUCCAGCAAUGCCGCGUGAAUGAAGAAGGCCUUUGGGUCGUAAAGUUCUUUCGCUUACGAGGAUAAUGACAUUAGUAAGAUAAGAAGGUCCGGCUAACUCUG